GGGGUCUGCCUCUCACAACAGUAUGUCUGCUCCUAGACACCUCAACUCCUCCUGUCUCCCUUGAGUUACAUGGACCUCCUUUAAGCCAUGAAGUCCUGGGUUUGUUUCUGUGAGCAUCAAAGGACGGAUGGAGAGACUAACCUGACUUCAGCUGCCAUCCUCCACUGAGAGCUGAUGGCGACUUGUCCAGGAUGCCCUCCGCAGCCUGCCCGAUGUCAGCUGUGAUCUGCUCCAAUAUGAUUACAAACGCUGAAACAGGCAUGCUAAGCCAAUAGGUGUCAAUAAAGUCUUCAUCGCCGACACAGCAAAAACCCAGA